rnacentral:rRNA from 1 species
UGUAGUCAUAUGCUUGUCUCAAAGAUUAAGCCAUGCAUGUCUAAGUAUAAGCACUUUAUACGGUGAAACUGCGAAUGGCUCAUUAAAUCAGUUAUCGUUUAUUUGAUAGUGCCUUACUACAUGGAUACCUGUGGUAAUUCUAGAGCUAAUACAUGCUGAAAACCCCGACUUCGGAAGGGGUGUAUUUAUUAGAUAAAAAACCAACGCCCUUCGGGGCUCCUUGGUGAUUCAUGAUAACUUAACGAAUCGCAUGGCCUUGCGCCGGCGAUGGUUCAUUCAAAUUUCUGCCCUAUCAACUUUCGAUGGUAGGAUAGUGGCCUACCAUGGUGGCAACGGGUAACGGGGAAU